rnacentral:rRNA from 1 species
AACGAACGCUGGCGGCGCGCCUAACACAUGCAAGUCGAGCGCAUCCCUUUCGGGGGUACACGAGCGGCGAACGGGUGAGUAACACGUGGGUGACCUGCCCUCAGCUCUGGGAUAAGCCUGGGAAACCGGGUCUAAUACCGGAUAUGACUCCAUGACGCAUGUUGUGGGGUGGAAAGCCUUGUGCGGCUGAGGAUGGGCCCGCGGCCUAUCGGCUUGUUGGUGGGGUGAUGGCCUACCAAGGCGACGACGGGUAGCCGGCCUGAGAGGGCGACCGGCCACACUGGGACUGAGACACGGCCCAGACUCCUACGGGAGGCAGCAGUGGGGAAGUCUUGCGCAAUGGGCGAAAGCCUGACGCAGCGACGCCGCGUGAGGGAUGACGGCCU